UGGGGUUGUGGCUCAGUGGUAGAGUGUUGCCUUAUAUGUGUGAGGCACUGGGUUCUAUCCUCAGCACCACAA
rnacentral:tRNA from 1 species